rnacentral:rRNA from 1 species
AUCUAUGGCCAUGCCACCCUAGACAUGCCUGAUUUUGUCUGAUUGCAGAAGGUAAGCAGGGUUGGACUUGGUUAGUAUUUGGAUGGGAAAGGGCUAAAGGACACAUCGAGGUGGAUG